GUGCCUAACACAUGCAAGUCGAACGGUAACAGGGACUUCGGUCCGCUGACGAGUGGCGCACGGGUGAGUAACGCGUGGAGUUACCUACCCAUCAGUGAGGAACAACCUGGAGAAAUCCAGGCUAAUACCGCAUACGACCUUCGGGUGAAAGAGGGGGAUCUUCGGACCUCUCGCUGAUGGAUGGUUCCGCGUCCGAUUAGUUAGUUGGUAAGGUAAUGGCUUACCAAGACGAUGAUCGGUAGCUGGUUUGAGAGGAUGAUCAGCCACACUGGAACUGAGACACGGUCCAGACUCCUACGGGAGGCAGCAGUGGGGAAUUUUGCACAAUGGGCGCAAGCCUGAUGCAGCGACGCCGCGUGCGGGAAGAAGGCCUUCGGGUUGUAAACCGCUUUCAACAGGGAAGAAGGAAUGAGGGUCAAUACCCCUCUGCCUUGACGGUACCUGUAGAAGAAGCCCCGGCUAAUUUCGUGCCAGCAGCCGCGGUAAUACGAAAGGGGCAAGCGUUGUUCGGAUUUACUGGGCGUAAAGAGAUCGUAGGUGGCUUGUUAAGUCGGAUGUGAAAUCCCGGGGCUCAACCCCGGAACUGCAUUCGAUACUGGCAGGCUUGAGUUCGGGAGGGGGAAGCGGAAUUCCGUGUGUAGCAGUGAAAUGCGUAGAUAUACGGAGGAACACCUGAGGCGAAGGCGGCUUCCUGGACCGAUACUGACACUGAGGAUCGAAAGCGUGGGUAGCAAACAGGAUUAGAUACCCUGGUAGUCCACGCCCUAAACGAUGUCUACUAGCCGUUGCGGGUAUCGACCCCUGCAGUGGCGCAGCUAACGCAAUAAGUAGACCGCCUGGGGAGUAC
rnacentral:rRNA from 1 species